AUUGAACGCUGGCGGCAUGCCUUACACAUGCAAGUCGAACGGUAACGCGGGGCAACCUGGCGACGAGUGGCGAACGGGUGAGUAAUGUAUCGGAACGUGCCCAGUAGUGGGGGAUAGCCCGGCGAAAGCCGGAUUAAUACCGCAUACGACCUACGGGUGAAAGGGGGGAGUCGCAAGACCUCUCGCUAUUGGAGCGGCCGAUAUCAGAUUAGCUAGUUGGUGGGGUAAAGGGACCCACCCAAGGCAACGAUCUGUAGCUGGUCUGAGAGGACGACCAGCCACACUGGGACUGAGACACGGCCCAGACUCCUACGGGAGGCAGCAGUGGGGAAUUUUGGUACAAUGGGCGCAAGCCUGAUCCAGCCAUGCCGCGUGCGGGAAGAAGGCCUCGGUU
rnacentral:rRNA from 1 species